CUCAGGUUAAUUUAAAUUCUGAAUUGCCACAACAGCAACAAGCAAGAAGGGCACCAUUAAAUGAAUAUUAUACACAUAAAGCAACAACACAAUAAAAAACCAAAAUAUGAACACCAGCAACUAAAACAGGAACCAUUAAAUGAAUAUUACACACAGCAAUAACAGCAUCAAAUAAUGGAAAUAAUGGACCCUACUGCUCAAAUCAAAAACAAAAUUUCAUCAUUACCACUUUAUUGGUUAUAUCAAUAAAAGAAAUUAUUGAGUUUAUGAGUCUAGAUCCUACAAGCAAGCAGAUCUAUCACAUAAUUUAAAAUGAAGAUUUAUCUAUUAUAGUAAUUUAUUCUAAUAAU
rnacentral:lncRNA from 1 species